AAGACGAGCACCAGACGAGGAGAGAGAGGAAGACGAGCACCAGACGAGGAGAGAGAGGAAGACGAGCACCAGGCGAGGAGAGAGAGGUCGAGCUGUAAACAACAGCUACAAAAAUGAAGAAUAAGAGGUUGAAAAGCCACUAAAACUCUACUUCCUGUGAUGAGUUUCACUUGAGAAGGAAGAGCGAGAGAGAGAGAGCAUCACAGCUACUGUAGGACAUCUUGUCUGCCAUUUCAACCCUAACAGCCACAUGACACCCCUGAUGGGAUCCUUAUAUUAAUGAACUAAGAUAUAAAGUAAGGAGAAGAUCAAAUCUACUGCUAGACUUUGACUGGGGUUGACCAGACCCAUAUAGGACUUUUAAUGUUUGAGAAUAUUCACUGUUAAUGGACAGAACGCUUAUCGCUUCACAGAACAAAAUAACAUUACUAAAAAAAUGGGUUUUGUUGCUUUUGGGUUUAGUUAUUUUGUUAUGUUUUUUUUUCUUUAUUUCUCUUUUGUUUCUAGUUUUAAAGGGUGGGAGAUGUGGUCCAGACUAACACAGAAAGUUCAAACUGGUCGAAACUGAAUUGAACAGGUUUAACACUGACCCUGGAAUGCACUGGUCUGACCCUGGAUUGAAUUGGUCUGAAGCAGUACUUCCUAUUAAAGAAAACAGAUGCUGUUGGCUUAAACUCAUAUCGAGUAAAUUAUAUAUUUUUUGGUUUCAUAUUAUUUUGUUUUGAUUUAAUUUCUUACGUUUGAUUUAUUUUAUUUCAGUUAAUUUAUUUUUUAUAUAUAUUUCUUUUAAUUAGCCCAUUGGGGGGGUGAAUAUGAUUUCUGUAAAUACUGUUUUGUUUCCUAGUCUCUGUGUCAAUGAUUGACAAGCAGGAAUAGAUCACAGUCCUCACUCCUAUCACCACACAGACCAUCACUUUUCAUUUAUGAAUGAAUUCCUGUGUAAUAAUAGCGAUGGCAAUGAUGAUGACUGUGAUGAUGAAGAUUAAGAAAUGUUUCGCUAACGCCAUCAAACGAUGACAUCUACCAGAUAUCCACAAGACAAGUCUGAUUUUUGUUUAUUUGGUGAUUGUUUUGUCAAAUAUGUACAUUUAGUCUUGGUUUCAGGAUACAGGCCUCACAGAGAGGGAGUUUGAUAGACUUCAGGCUACGACGGACAGGCCUCACAGAGAGGGAGUUUGAUAGGCUACGAGGGACAGGCCUCACAGAGAAGGAGUUUGAUAGACUUCAGGCUACGACGGACAGGCCUCACAGAGAGGGAG
ensembl:lncRNA